rnacentral:rRNA from 1 species
UACGAAGGGGGGCUAGCGUUGUUCGGAAUUACUGGGCGUAAAGCGCACGUAGGCGGCUUUGUAAGUUAGAGGUGAAAGCCCGGGGCUCAACUCCGGAAUUGCCUUUAAGACUGCAUCGCUAGAAUUGUGGAGAGGUAAGUGGAAUUCCGAGUGUAGAGGUGAAAUUCGUAGAUAUUCGGAAGAACACCAGUGGCGAAGGCGACUUACUGGACACAUAUUGACGCUGAGGUGGCGAAAGCGUGGGGAGCAAACAGG